rnacentral:lncRNA from 1 species
CUUUUCUCAUAUUUCUUGAUACUGCCCUCCUGCCCAACCAUUGGCUACUCAAUCAGUGUUCCAUUGUGAUGGACAGGUGUGGUUUCUGGCCUGUCUGUCACAAUGGCCAAUGACCAAAGCAUGGCAGGGGAUAAGGAGAGAGUGCCAGGCUUCCUCUCCUGUAUGUAAAAGCAAACAGCUUGGGAAAGGCUGCACAGCAAGGUGUGAACCAAGUGACAGACGCGGGUCAGAAAGGUAUGAGGUUGGGAGGGAAAAGCUAAUGUAACACAGCAG